GAUGAACGCUGGCGGCGUGCCUAAUACAUGCAAGUCGAGCGAAGCGGGGACGGGGGUGAAAAACGUGUAGAACACCCUAUAAGACUGGGAUAAAUUCGGGAAAACGGAGCGAAACAGGACAAUUAUAGAAGGAUCCGCGCUGCAUUAGCUAGUUGGUAAGGUAACGGCUUACAAAGGACACGAUGCAUAGCCGACCUGAGAGGGUGAUCGGCCACACUGGAACUGAGACACGGUCCAGACUCCUACGGGAGGCAGCAGUAGGGAAUCUUCCGCAAUGGGCGAAAGCCUGACGGAGCAACGCCGCGUGAGUGAUGAAGGUCUUCGGAUCGUAAAACUCUGUUAUUAGGGAAGCGGUACCUAAUCAGAAAGCCACGGCUAACUACGUGCCAGCAGCCGCGGUAAUAC
rnacentral:rRNA from 1 species